GAUGAACGCUGGCGGCGUGCUUAACACAUGCAAGUCGAACGGUGAAGGCGGAGCUUGCUCUGCUGGAUCAGUGGCGAACAGGUGAGUAACACGUGAGCAAUCUGCCCCUGACUCUGGGAUAAGCGCUGGAAACGGCGUCUAAUACUGGAUACGAGCUGCGAAGGCAUCUUCAGCAGCUGGAAAGAAGUUCGGUCAGGGAUGAGCUCGCGGCCUAUCAGCUUGUUGGUGAGGUAAUGGCUCACCAAGGCGUCGACGGGUAGCCGGCCUGAGAGGGUGACCGGCCACACUGGGACUGAGACACGGCCCAGACUCCUACGGGAGGCAGCAGUGGGGAAUAUUGCACAAUGGGCGAAAGCCUGAUGCAGCAACGCCGCGUGAGGGACGACGGCCUUCGGGUUGUAAACCUCUUUUAGCAGGGAAGAAGCGAAAGUGACGGUACCUGCAGAAAAAGCGCCGGCUAACUACGUG
rnacentral:rRNA from 1 species